rnacentral:rRNA from 1 species
AUUGAACGCUGGCGGCAUGCUUUACACAUGCAAGUCGAACGGUAACAGGGUGCUUGCACCGCUGACGAGUGGCGAACGGGUGAGUAAUGCGUCGGAACGUGCCGAGUAGUGGGGGAUAACGCAGCGAAAGUUGUGCUAAUACCGCAUACGUACUGAGGUAGAAAGUGGGGGACCUUCGGGCCUUACGCUAUUCGAGCGGCCGACGUCUGAUUAGCUAGUAGGUGAGGUAAAGGCUCACCUAGGCGACGAUCAGUAGCGGGUCUGAGAGGAUGAUCCGCCACACUGGGACUGAGACACGGCCCAGACUCCUACGGGAGGCAGCAGUGGGGAAUAUUGGACAAUGGGCGCAAGCCUGAUCCAGCCAUACCGCGUGGGUGAAGAAGGCCUUCGGGUUGUAAAGCCCUUUUGUUGGGAAAGAAAUCCAGCUGGCUAAUACCCGGUUGGGAUGACGGUACCCAAAGAAUAAGCACCGGCUAACUUCGUGCCAGCCGCCGCCGUAA